GACUUGAGUGUAGUCUGUUUUUUAUAUAUUACAAAUCGGACCAAAGUUUAACACAUGUUGCAUGGAGGUUGUUGUGUUAUUGACUCAGAAGGUGUCUCCGGUGUUAAAACUAAAAGGAAAAGUAUAAAAUAUCGCUUUAGUUUUAAUGAAUCUAGCUACAGUAUACACAAACAGUACUAAUACUGGAAACUUCGUCGUAAAUAUUCAAGAUGUCAGCUCUUGAUAUUAUAUUUAAUUUAUGUUGUGAUUGUUUUAUACUAUUGUAGUAAACCGUAAGACAGCUAUUUCAUGAUAAAAAGCUUUGUUAAGAUGAUAAUGAGCUUAAUAUUUCAUUGCUAUGAAUUCUUGUUAUUGAAAAGGCUCGAAGAAGACCCAUCUUUAUGGCGUGAAAUCAAGAAACAGUUUUCACAAGGGAAAAGUGUAUAUAUAUUGCAGAGUAUACUUCCAGAUCUGUGGUUUUUAGCAAUUACCCUUGAGAAAACAAAAGAUAGGUUUCCAGCAUUUGUAAAAGCUCAGCUUGAUGAAAACCUUCAACUUCCUUCUCGGCAAGAAUCUUUGCUGGGCAGGUAUUUAAACAGUGUAGAUUUUGUUGAACUUCAUUUAGACAGCAUAUUCAAGCAUGGAGAAAAUGGGUAUUUACCACAAGAAUUGUUCAGAUGUCCAAAUGUGAAACUACUUUCACUAAAGUACAACCUUUUAGAAACUGUACCACCAGACAUUGGUCAUAUGAAAAACUUGGAGUAUUUGGCUCUAACUAACAAUCGACUUCAAAACUUUUCUAUUCCAUAUACUCUAACAUUUUGUCAGAAACUAUCUGUGCUUCUUCUUGACAACAACCUUUUGGAUGCUCUACCAGGAUUUCUCUGUUACAUGCCUUCUCUACAUACAGUCCAUCGCCAUGGUAACCAUAACUAUUUCAAGGCUACUUUUAUGUGGUAUCAUACAGAUGUGAAUGAGAGAAUAAUGUUUGUUAGUGGGAGUGGCUCAAUAGAAACCCAGCACAAACCCGAACGUUUACAGUUCCUAGCAGCUAGAGUUGUGAUUGCAGCAAAAAUCAACUUUUAUUCUAGUCCUCACGUACCUCACAUUCUCAUGGAUUAUAUUUCUGACAUGUACUUCAACUUUAAUAUCUGUGGGAACUGUCCAUCUGCCAGACUUCUCAGAGAGCCAGGCUACAAGGUGUUUACCUUUAUGAAUCCAUACCUUGGUAACACAUGUGUCCCCUUCCUUCAUUGGGCAUGUUCCUUAACUUGUGCUCAAGCCAUUGAAGUGCCAGCAAGAGUGCAGCAACUCAGGGCUGCCAGUGAACAAGACCGAAUAUAUAGACAGUGCGUGCAUGCUGCUCAGCUUGGUACCAGAAGGUCAAGUAACAGUGAAAAAAUCAGCAGAAAAAUAUCUUUGAUACAAGACCCUAAAACCCCAGGUUGCUCAUAAUGAUUAUGCUGUCCGGAUGAUCUCCCACCUUAAAAGUUCUACAGUGGAAUGCUCAGAGUUUAAGGGCUUAUGAUAAUGAGUUCAGAUAUUCAACUGAUGGACAUGCUUCUAAUGUUUAAGAAGAAUCUACUGAAGUCCUGCUACGUAUCAACAAAACAAUAAUCGACUGUAAAAAAUGGCGAAUUGCAAAAUUCAACGCUGCCAUUCAGCGUUGGCACGCCUUGAUCUUAAAGUCAACUUUUGUGAUCGUUGACUUCCGGUAUUGCUUCAACGUUGACUCAACACAAUCAACUUGGAAAUUGAAAUGCAAUAUAGCAGUUUCUAUGAGGGACGUGGCUUUUGUGGUAGGUGACUUAGUUUACUUUAAAUGUGGAUGCAGCAACCUUUUCUUUGAAAAUAAUAUUCAAAACAAAUGUGUUUUGUCUAGCAACGUUUCGAGUAAACAAUCUUCCUCAGGCUUAAUAUAAAAACAACUAUAAGACUGAUGACAGCAUUUGCUCGAAACGUCACUGGACAUAAUACGUUUGUUUCUGUUUUAACGUUGUGGAAAUUCUGAUUCUCUAAAAACUUAUCUUUUGUCUGACGUCCAUCUUGGAAAUGUCAAUAAAUCGUUCCAGUCAGCGUUGACCAACUUCAGAGAUUUAGUAGUCCCUCGGUGAGACAGCGGCAAGUUUACGGGCCUACAACUCUUAAAACCGGGGUUAAAUUCCCUGCGGUGGACACAGCAGAUAGACCAAUAACAAAUAAUUUUGGGAUGUGACCAAAAUUUGUUUUAAUUUUUCGUCAGUAUUUCAUUAAAACGCAAAAAUAUCAUUAGUAUUAUGUGUUCUUUAAUCACAAUUGUUUAUAUUCAACAACGGAAAUGUUUCUCAAAUCUAGUAUUUUAUAGUUACCGUUGUUGCCAAUGAUUUCCAAAGAUACUUCUAGGAAAUUCGCAGGUU
rnacentral:misc_RNA from 1 species